rnacentral:misc_RNA from 1 species
GCAAACUUGGUCAUUUAGAGGAAGUAAAAGUCGUAACAAGGUUUCCGUAGGUGAACCUGCGGAAGGAUCAUUAACGAAGCAUUAGAAGGGUUGUAGCUGCCUCGAAAGAGGAUGUGCACACCUUUCAAAUCUUCUAUUUAACCACUUGUGCACUCUUACAUGGGAUUGUAUUGUGGUGAGAGGUGUUGAGCCUUUCAUUGCUUUACAUUCUUAUGUUUUUUAUACACACUAAAAGUUAUUGUAUGGUUGUUAUACGGAUUGUAAUGAUCUGUAAUAAUUUAAAUACAACUUUCAGCAACGGAUCUCUUGGCUCUCGCAUCGAUGAAGAACGCAGC